rnacentral:tRNA from 1 species
AAAAAAUGAAAGAAAAUGGAAGAAAUAGUGAAGUGAGAGGGAAAAAAAAAAAAGAAUGAGUGAAAUGAGAAAGAUGAAGUUUUUUUAUAUGCGAAUUAGAUUGAAUAAAGCACACUUGGUCUCAUUCCUCUUUCCUCAACUAUCAAAUAUGUCAAUUCCGAAAAGCUAUGGAACUCAAAUGUAAAGUAUAUAGAGUUGAGAGAGCUUAUUUUCUUUUUAAAUUAAUUAUAAAUUCUUCUCUAUGAUCUCUAUACCCAUUUUGAAAGAUAAGAAUUAGUUUGUUUGCAAGCUAAGGCAGUACCAAUUCUGAUCUUUUGAAAUGGAACUUGAGUGAGCAGAGCUUACUGUUAGUGGAACAAAAGAAAGGAAAUAGGAAAAUCAACAAAAUGAUUAGUUCCUCUUUUCUUUUCUUUUCUUUAUAGUUGUAUCUAUUGUAAUAAGAGAAUGUUCUUAGUUUAGUUUGGUAGAACGUAGAUCUCCAAAACUUGAUGUUGUAGGUUCAAAUCUUAUAAAGCGUGAAUCCAAAUCAACAAAUCCCUUUGUCGAGAUAUGACAACAUAAUUGUAUUGAAUACAUUUGGUAUUGCGGAA